GGUGGCUCAGUGGUAGAGUGCUUGCCUCAAAUGCACGAGGCCCUGGGUUCAAUUCCUCAGCACCA
rnacentral:tRNA from 1 species